rnacentral:rRNA from 1 species
AUACGGAGGGUGCAAGCGUUAUUCGGAAUCACUGGGCGUGAAGGACGCGUAGGCGGGUUGGCAAGUCAGAUGUGAAAUCUUACAGCUUAACUGUAGAACUGCAUUUGAAACUGCUAACCUAGAGUAUGGGAGGGGGAGAUGGAAUUAGUGGUGUAGGGGUAAAAUCCGUAGAUAUCACUAGGAAUACCGAAAGCGAAGGCGAUCUCCUGGAACAUAACUGGCGCUAAGGCGUGAAAGCGUGGGGAGCAAACAGGAUUAGAAACCCUAGUAGUCC